GGUUCGAUUCUGGCUCAGAUUGAACGCUGGCGUUUUACACAUGCAAGUCGAACGGCAGCACGGACUUCGGUCUGGUGGCGAGUGCGAACGGGUGAGUAAUGUAUCGGAACGUGCCUAGUAGCGGGGGAUAAUCCACAAGCGAAAGCGUAGCUACCGCAUACGCCCUUCGGGGAAAGCGGGGACCUUCGGGCCUCGCACUAGAGCGGCCGAUAUCGGAUUAGCUAGUUGGUGGGGUAACGGCUCACCAAGGCGACGAUCCGUAGCUAUCGAGGACGACCAGCCACACUGGGACUGAGACACGGCCCAGACUCCUACGGGAGGCAGCAGUGGGGAAUUUGGACAAAUGGGGGAAACUCCCCAUCCAGCCAUCCCGCGUGUGCGAUGAAGGCCUUCAGUUGUAAAGCACUUUUGGCAGGAAAGAAACGGCACGGGAUAAUACCCGUGCAACUGACGGUGCCUGCAGAAUAAGCACCGGCUAACUACGUGCCAGCAGCCGCGUAUGGUAGGGGUGCAAGCGUUAAUCGGAAUUACUGGGCGUAAAGCGUGCGCAGGCGGUUCGGAAAGAAAGAUGUGAAAUCCCAGAGCUUAACUUUGGAACUGCAUUUUUAACUACCGAGCUAGAGUGUGUCAGAGGGAGGUGGAAUUCCGGCGUGUAGCAGGAAAUGCGUGAUAUGCGGAGGAACACCGAUGUAUAGCGCAGCCUCCUGAUAACACUGACGCUCAUGCACGAAAGCGUGGGGAGCAAACAGGAUUAGAUACCCUGGUAGUCCACGCCCUAAACGAUGUCAACUAGCUGUUGGGGCUUCGGGCCUUGGUAGCGCAGCUAACGUGAAGUUGACCGCCUGGGGAGUACGGGUCGCAAGAUUAAAACUCAAAGGAAUUGACGGGGACCCGCACAAGCGGUGGAUGAUGUGGAUUAAUUCGAUGCAACGCGAAAACCCACUCACCCUUGACAUGUCUGGAAUCCCGAAGAGAUUUGGGAGUGCUCGCAAGAGAACCGGAACACAGGUGCUGUGGCUGGUUUGUCGUCAGCUCGUGUCGGGGAGAUGUUGGGUUAAGUCCCGCAACGAGCGCAACCCUUGUCAUUAGCUGCUACGAAAGGGCACUCUAAUGAGACUGCCGGUGACAAACCGGAGGAAGGUGGGGAUGACGUCAAGUCCUCACGGCCCUUAUGGGCUUCACACGUCAUACAAUGUCGGGACAGAGGGUCGCCAACCUGCGAGGGGGAGCCAAUCCCAGAAACCCGAUCGUAGUCCGGAUCGCAGUCUGCAACUCGACUGCGGAAGUCGGAAUCGCUAGUAAUCGUGGAUCAGCAUGCUGUGAAUACGUUCCGGGUCUUGUACACACCGCCCGUCACACCAUGCGGGAGGGGGUUUUACCAGAAGUAGUUAGCCUAACCGUAAGGAGGCUAAGAUUAAUACGGUAGGAUUCAUGACUGGGGUGAAGUCGUAACAAGGUAA
rnacentral:rRNA from 1 species